CUGAGUACGGCGGAACACGUGAAAUUCCGUCGGAAUCCGGGAGGACCAUCUCCCAAGGCUAAAUACUCCCUAGUGACCGAUAGUGAACCAGUACCGUGAGGGAAAGGUGAAAAGCACCCCGGAAGGGGAGUGAAACAGUUCCUGAAACCGUGUGCCUACAAGUAGUUAGAGCCCGUUAAUGGGUGAUAGCGUGCCUUUUGUAGAAUGAACCGGCGAGUUACGAUUUGUUGCAAGGUUAAGCGGAAAAAGCGGAGCCGUAGCGAAAGCGAGUCUGAAUAGGGCGCAUAAGUAACAGGUCGUAGACCCGAAACCAGGUGAUCUACCCAUGUCCAGGAUGAAGGUAAGGUAAUACUUACUGGAGGUCCGAACCCACGCACGUUGAAAAGUGCGGGGAUGAGGUGUGGGUAGCGGAGAAAUUCCAAUCGAACUUGGAGAUAGCUGGUUCUCUCCGAAAUAGCUUUAGGGCUAGCCUCGAGGUAAAGAGUCAUGGAGGUAGAGCACUGUUUGGACUAGGGGCCCUUCUCGGGUUACCGAAUUCAGAUAAACUCCGAAUGCCAUGUACUUAUACUCGGGAGUCAGACUGCGAGUGAUAAGAUCCGUAGUCGAAAGGGAAACAGCCCAGACCACCAGUUAAGGUCCCCAAAUAUAUGUUAAGUGGAAAAGGAUGUGGGGUUGCUUAGACAACCAGGAUGUUGGCUUAGAAGCAGCCACCAUUGAAAGAGUGCGUAAUAGCUCACUGGUCGAGUGACCCCGCGCCGAAAAUGUACCGGGGCUAAACAUAUUACCGAAACUGUGGAUGAACCUCUUUAGAGGUUCGUGGUAGGAGAGCGUUCUAAGGGCGGUGAAGUCAGACCGGAAGGACUGGUGGAGCGCUUAGAAGUGAGAAUGCCGGUAUGAGUAGCG
rnacentral:rRNA from 1 species